rnacentral:rRNA from 1 species
UACGUAGGUGGCAAGCGUUGUCCGGAUUUAUUGGGUUUAAAGGGUGCGUAGGCGGCUUUGUAAGUCAGUGGUGGAAUAUGGCAGCUCAACUGUCAGGGUGCCAUUGAUACUGCGGAGCUUGAGUACAGAUGAGGUAGGCGGAAUUGACGGUGUAGCGGUGAAAUGCUUAGAUAUCGUCAAGAACACCGAUAGCGAAGGCAGCUUACUGGGCUGUAACUGACGCUGAGGCACGAAAGUGUGGGGAUCAAACAGG